rnacentral:rRNA from 1 species
GACGAACGCUGGCGGCGUGCUUAACACAUGCAAGUCGUACGGUAAGGCCCUUUCGGGGGUACACGAGUGGCGACCGGGUGAGUAACACGUGAGUAACCUUCCCACAACUUUGGGAUAACGCUAGGAAACUGGUGCUAAUACUGGUUAUGUGCUCCUGCUGCAUGGGGGGGGUUGGAAAGCUCCUGCGGGUUUGGGUGGACUCGCGGGCUAUCAGCGUGUUGGUGGGGUAGUGGGCUACCGAGGCGGCGACGGGUAGCCGGCCUGUGAGGGUGACCGGCGACAUUGGGACUGAGAGACGGCACCGACUCCUACGGGUGGCAGCAGGGGGGAAGCUUGAACAAGGGGCGCCAGCCUGAUGCAGAAGCGCCGCGGGCGGGAAGACGGCCUUCGGGUUGAAAACCGCUUUCAGCAGGAACGAAGCUUGUUGUGACGGUACCUGAAGAAGAAGCACCGGCUAACUACGUG